rnacentral:tRNA from 1 species
GACAACGUGGCCGAGUGGUUAAGGCGUCAGACUUGAAUCUCUCAUUCGGUUAUCUGAUUCCUUCGGGAGCGUAGGUUCAAACCCUGCCGUUGUCG